UAAAAGAAAGAGAACAAUCCAUUCUGUAAUUAGAGUUAGAGUUUUAAGAAAUCUUAUGAAAGUUUAGGACCAGUGAAGUAGAAUUCUUCACCUAUAUUUUUGAGAAUAUAUAUUACCACCUACCUUACAUUCCCACUGUUUUCAGUGGGAGACCUAGCUACUCCUCUGCUGUCUUUAAUUUCCUUGCUCGCACUGGUAUGCAUUUUCAGACACUCUGCUGUCUCUUCGAUUGUUCAGAAUUGCUUCAUUUAAGUCAGAUAAAAAAAACAGGCUAUGCAAAUAAGUGAAUAGAUAGAGUCACAGAGUCCAAGCUAAUAACUAAUAUAAUGAGAAUACAUCAUGCAUCCCCUUCAUGGAUCACUGCCUUGAUGUGGUGAAGGGGCUUGUAUAGCUCAAUGAAGUUAUGAGCUAUGCCAUGUAGGGGCACUCAAGAUGGACAGGUAAUAGCAGAGAUCUCUGACAAAAGUUGGUCCACUGGAGAAGGAUAUGGCAACCCACGCCAGUAUCUUUGCCAUGAAAACCCCAUGGACAGUACCAAAAAGCA